ACGGCCAUACCAUGCUGAAUAUACCGAUUCUCGUAAGAUCACUAAAAAGUCAAGCAUCAUUGGGCGCGGUCAGUACUUGAAUGGGUGACCACCUUGAAACUGCGUGCCGUUU